CAGCCGCCGCGGUAAUACGAAGGGUGCAAGCGUUAAUCGGAGUUACUGGGCGUAAAGCGUGCGUAGGCGGUUUGUUAAGUCUGUUGUGAAAUCCCCGGGCUCAACCUGGGAAUGGCAAUGGAUACUGGCAAGCUAGAGUGUGUCAGAGGAUGGUGGAAUUCCCGGUGUAGCGGUGAAAUGCGUAGAGAUCGGGAGGAACAUCAGUGGCGAAGGCGGCCAUCUGGGACAACACUGACGCUGAGGCACGAAAGCGUGGGGAGCAAACAGGAUUAGAUACCCCAGUAGUCCCUGUCUCUUAUAC
rnacentral:rRNA from 1 species